CCUACGGGAGGCAGCAGUAAGGAAUAUUGGUCAAUGGACGCAAGUCUGAACCAGCCAUGCCGCGUGCAGGAUGACGGCCCUCUGGGUUGUAAACUGCUUUUAUAGGGGACGAAAAAAGGGCUUUCUAGCUCGUCUGACGGUACCCUAGGAAUAAGCACCGGCUAACUCCGUGCCAGCAGCCGCGGUAAUACGGAGGGUGCAAGCGUUAUCCGGAUUUACUGGGUUUAAAGGGUGCGUAGGUGGGUCGGUAAGUCAGCGGUGAAAUCUUCGAGCUUAACUCGGAAACUGCCAUUGAUACUAUCGAUCUUGAAUCAUCUGGAGGUAAGCGGAAUAUGUCAUGUAGCGGUGAAAUGCUUAGAUAUGACAUAGAACACCAAUUGCGAAGGCAGCUUACUACGGAUGCAUUGACACUGAGGCACGAAAGCGUGGGGAUCAAACAGGAUUAGAUACCCUGGUAGUCCACGCCCUAAACGAUGGAUACUCGACAUUUGAGAUAUACUUUAAGUGUNUGAGNGAAGACGAUUAAGUAUACCACCGUAGGUAAGGUACGUAGUUCGCGAAGUUAGUUAGUAAACGUUAAAGGUUAAGUUAGACGGCGAGAGACGCGACCGACGGACGACGACGGAGGGAGGAGG
rnacentral:rRNA from 1 species